rnacentral:rRNA from 1 species
GACGAACGCUGGCGGCGUGCUUAACACAUGCAAGUCGAACGAAGUGGCGAACGGGUGAGUAACGCGUAAUCAACUGCCCUUCAGAGGGGGAUAACAGUUGGAACCGGCUGCUAAUACCGGAUAGUGGGGGAUGACUCGCGUCCUAUCAGCUUGUUGGUGGGGUAGUGGCCUACCAAGGCGAAGACGGGUAGCCGGCCUUAGAGGGCGACCGGCCACAUUGGGCUGAGAUACGGCCCAAGCUCCUACGGGAGGCAGCAGUGGGGAAUAUUGCACAAUGGGGGAAGCCCUGAUGCAGCAACGCCGCGUGCGGGAUGACGGCCUUCGGGUUGUAAACCGCUUUCAGCCAUGACGCGGUAGUGGCAGGAGAGGCACCGGCUAACUACGUGCCAGCAGCCGCGGUAAUAC